GUCUGAAAUCACAGAUAAGUUAGAAUCAGAGAUUUCAAUGCAAACACUCAUGAACUUUGAGAAGGGUCAGGUCCAGACGGGCUCCAGCUGGACUCCAGACCCUGAUAAGAGAGUUCCUCCCGUGGGCCUCGAGAACAUCUGAAUCCUCAGCAGCCACUCGGCUGACCUCUCCUUCCCAGGUCUCCGGGCUUUUUUACCCAGUUACUAGGUCAUGAGCUUGCAGGAGACCCACCCACUUGGGCCUGUUGGUUUUCACUGGUCCAGGGACAUUUUUCUUUCUUCAGGGAACUCUGCAAAGCAUUUUUUCUUGCAGGAGGGGAGGAGAUUCAGCAUGACUCAAUGGUGUUUAAGAAACGGGAGACAAAUGAGGAGAUCCUAGAGGUACUUCCUUUCUGAAUAGCUCAGAGAUUAGUAACGCUUUGCCAUACCUGUAAAUAGUUUGUGUGCAGACACGAAUGCCAACAACUUCUCUGGAAAGCUGCACCUCGCUAGCCCUUGUUUUCGAAGAGCGUUUGUGAUUUUUCAGCAACCACCUACCAAAGCCAAGAGAAAAUAAAAAGAUCCCUGACCUUUCACUGCUCUGAUUUCCUAAUCAUUUGGACACCUUUAAUCCUCGCCUCAGUCACAGGGCACUGUUGUGUAACACAGCCACAGUCCAGGAAGGGCCUGGCACAAGACAAAUGCUGGACAUGGAACAUCCUUGGUGCAAAAAAAAAAAAAAAAAAAAAAAAAGAGCUGUGCAAGGGGUGUAAAGAGGAGAGCAUGUCUGGGGGCUCACAGCAGCAUAAGCUGUAUUUAUGCAGUGCUUGGGGAUCGGUCAACGCAUGCAAGGUUUUUGCUUGUCACCAAAGUGGCCAUGCAGAGUGGUCAGACAAGUCGGGCAGCGAACGCAUGCACAUUAAUAUUUGCUGUCACUGAGGUUGCAAAACAAAAGCAGACAGAUCAUUUCAGGACUUGGCCUCCUUAUCUCCACCUACCACAGCCUAUAAAGUUGCAUAAGAAAACAGGACAGCAUAGGAAGAAAUUUGAGGUGGAAACCUGAAGAGAAAUGAAGCAGAUGCGGCGACACUGAAUGGCAAAACUCCCCCCCCAGAGUGGGAUCAUAAGGGUCACACUAAAGCCCAUGGAGCAGCGCGGUGGGGACAAGCCCUGCAGACACGGGGUCCCUGCGGAAAUCCAGCAUGCGGCAGAGGAGACAAAGGCACUCCAAAGUACCUUCUGUUGGAAACCCUGGCUUCAUUUUCAGAAAGCAAAGAGAUGUUGUUUGGGAGACACAAGCAUCUGCUUAGUGACUUCUCGGUGCAGGGGACAAGCAACUCGCUGGUGUCUUGCCAGGUAAGCUGCAAACAACAUUAGGUCACUGCAAACAGCUUUCCUUGGGCUCCAUCUGUCAGAUAAGGACCGUAUCACUGGCACGAUGUUUGUGAUGCCGAGCUCUCCUUUGCUUAACGAAGGCCAAAUGUGAAGCUCAUUAAGGAGAGAACCUGAGACGCCCUCCCUAGACCAGCAGCAGCUGACUUGCUGCCGUGGGCUGGUUUAAUCUCCUAUUAGCUCAGGUCAAAACGAGCUGCGUGGAGAAAUACCUCUGUCACGACAUGUCAGACCUGCAGAGCUGAGUCCCAAGUGCAAAAGCUGCUGGGGGCCACGGGGUGGUUCUGGCUCCGAGUUCCCCGGGGCUGAUGAUGUGUGAGCGGCUGCGGGCAGCCACGGCGUGCUCUGCAGCCUUCUGUGGGCUCAGCCUGCAGCAGACAAGCGUGUGGUACAGCCUCACCAGCCUCCGAGCAGGCCCUAUUUAAAGGCCAUUCAAAUACGGUGGUGUCCAGGAAGACGUGUAGCACCUAAUAGUGGUGGAGAUUAAGAGGAGAUUAAAAGAAAAGUCGUGAUUCAGCCGUGAUUUUCAUGGCGAGGAAUGAUGCCAUGGAAAACAUCAAGGAAAAUGAGGUGGAAUGGGCUGCCAUUAGCAGAUUGCUUUAUUUAUGGCUAUUGGGUAUUGCUGGUGUGCCAAAUCUUAAAUUUAUUGGGUGCCACAGAUUUCUUCAUUAAAAUUGUAUUACCAAAUUGUUGUUUGUUGCAAUUUGCAGUGACCCUCUCCUUAGCUGUUUUUAUUUUUGCUGUAUGUGUGUGUAUGACCCUGUAAAAACAGGCCGGUCUGUGGGGAGAAAGUAGGUUUUUAGCCAAAAGUGUGCAUUUUAAAUGGCGUGACUGAUCUUCUCCGAGUUCCCUCCUCCCUCUCCUCCAUUUUGGCUUUGUGCUUCACCUCUCGGGCUGCACCGCCGUGGCUCCAAACCCUUCCCGUCCCAGUUAUUAACGUUAAGCUGACAAGCUCCAAGCGAGGAUUUUCAGGUGUCUUUAUAACAACUCGUGCUGGCUGCUAGGUGUUCCCAGGAGGCUGCAGAUCCUGGAAUCUUCCACCCUGGCAAUAUGCCCAGCCCAUCGCAACUGCGACCUUACCAAGAUCUCAGCACUGGGAUUUUGCAGCUGUUCAGAUCUCUCCAGAUACCACAGCAAAUGGUUUCUGCUCUCUGAGUCAGCCGGUUGCUGCACCCCAGCCCUUUAAGGUUUUCCCACUAUUCCUUACCAGAACCACCUUCAGAGCUGGUCUCCUUGGGAUGGCGAUGGAGCAAUGAGUGGAGUUGGGCAACUGUGUCACUUGCCUUAGUUUGCUAAUGUCAAGGCUUUUGGCAAGCUGGUCUUUAGGAAGGCACACAGAGACGGCAGAAUGGUGGAGGGCUGGGGUCUCAGAGCUGAUGAUCAGAUCAGCAGCCAGCUCUGGGCACUGGCUGCGAUGUACAGAAAUCACAUCAACCCUCUUCUCUCAAGGUAAUGAGAUCAGUUAUCUGAUGCUGCUUGUAUCCAAAUUGCAUUCAGAUAGUUUUAUGCUUCACAGGCUGCUGGAUCACAGCGAUAGUUAUACAAAGCUGGCGAUGGCUGCAGGACAGAAACAGCUCCCCUGAGCCCUGCUCCUUCACACCAUGCUCUCCUCUGAUGCACAUUCACAUGCUGUAGCACCCUACAGCAACAAGCACCCCUAGAGUUCAGACUGUGGCUUGUCUGAUCAUAUCAAGCCAUCGAGAUUUACAGUCUCCUCUCUCUUCUGACCAGAUGUAAUAAUAGCAAGAGCAGAGGUUCUCACCACAGCAAGACAAAUUUCUUUUUCAAUGACAUGCCCAUCAUCAAUCCCUACAAGUAAAUUUUUUCGUUUAGAAGCUCACGAGUACAUCCCAUACCGUACACUCUGUGCUGCUCUUUUGCAUAACACUUCCUAGCUUGUCUGUACCUAGCCCUGGGCUCUCUCAGGUCUUUUCUGUCCUCGGGACAGAUCUCUGAGACCUGCAGGAUCUGUCUCAGGUGUCGCUCAGUUAUAAGAAAGGAGGCUGGCUACACUCAGGUUCAUUAUUAGGUUUCACAUAUUGCGUGAGGUGGGACCGAGAGGUUUGUGUUUGAUUUAAUAAUAUUUUUUGCUGUGAUUUGGAGCACUCAGAGAGCAGCCGGGCUGCCAAAGCAAGCUGAAACAGGCAACACUUGAGACAUUCAGGUCAGGGAGCACGCUGUUAGCCCAUCUCAGCAGGUGUGAUACCGUCCUGCCACCAUCCUGCGCCCAUCAGCACGUAGUCCUUCCUUUUGAUCCAGGGCUUCACGAGACACAAAGCAUCUCUCAGUGCAGAGAAAGCUCUGUGGCGAGACUUUCCCUGUGCUGACCUCUCCUGUGGGGUUUUUGUGCCUGAGACCAGCAGUCUGUGCAGGGGCACGGGACCGUACCCACUUGCAAGCAGCAUCUCCCAGCCACUCAGGUCCAGGGCAGAGGAUGCAGAAGGGCCCAUCCUUCAGCUCUUGGGUCUUCAGUUAGUCUUUCCUUCUGACUCCAAGCAAAGGGCUCUUUCCCAGAGCUGCUCCCCAUGGUACUGGAAUCUAAACAAUCCUCCUAACUAGCUUUCAGACAAAAUCAGGUUACGGGGUUCCCCUUACCAUGCACACACACUUGGAGGAUUGGGAGCAGAGCUUUCGGGGGAAGAUAAGAUGCUGCUCUGUUAAUCAGAAACACGGUGAAUAGCAUUUGUUAUGCUUUUGUGAGGCUGUUAAGUAUUUCUUUUCCCUUCUUAUGACUCUUCACCAUACCUUUCUGCCGGUGGAAGGCACCUGGCUCUCUAGACUGCCAUCCACAGACCAGCCGACGCACAUGCACACACCUGCCUCAGGAUGAAAAUGAGGCAUGGCAUCUAUUGCCAAAGAAAGGUUUCUUCAGUACCAGAAUUACUAAAACUUCCUUAAGAUAUGCAGGAGUGCUUCCAGAUUGCAAAAUGAAAAUCGCUGCCCGGAAUCCUGAAUUCAAAGUAGGGAAAUAUCCCUUUAAAGAAACCCAUUGGCAAUAUGACUAAAGGCCUUAAGGCCAAGCUGAUCUUCAACACAACUCCACUGAGUCAAGAAAAAUACACCAGGGAUAAAGUUUGGCCUGAUAGUGAAAACCACAGGCAAGUGAGAAUGAUUCCCACAAUCAAGCUGAUCUGAAAAAUGCAGUUAAAUUUUGCCCUUAAAGGAAUCAUUUUCCUAACAAUAAUGGAUAAAAUGAAAUGCUUGUCAAAAUUAUUACAAGCAUAUGGGGAUGAGACGAUCAACAUUUUAUGAAUUAUUUCCCUCAGCAGCAGUAUGUUUGCUUCAUUCUUUAGCCAUUCUUCUUUCUUUAAUUCCAGAGCUUGUGACCUUCCUGCUGGCUCUUCUAGAUUUACUACCUGCCCUGUUCAUUCUUGCCUUGCUAGAGCCACACAGAUGAUGUGUUUUGGAUGCUUAAUCCCAGCUUUGCCACUGCGUUGAUGUGGCAUUUUUUUGAGUAUUUUUUCGGGCCAGUAUCCUUCAAGUCCAUCUCUACUAGUUUAUCAAUACUUGAAGUGGCCCCCAGGCAAUGCUAAGGGUAAGUAUCUGAUAUUAUUUUCCAGGACUGAGUCCUUGGUUCUCAGCCUAACACUUUGCAAGGAUACCUAAACGAAGAUGCUGGUUAGGAUGAAGACAAAACUUUCUCAGAAAGCUGUUUUGGAAUGUGGGACUUGCUUCCCAAGAGAGGAGAAUGAAUGACCACAGAAUUAAUCUCUUUCAAAGCUCUGUCCAAAACUCAUUUGUUGUGUUUAACUUGUUCUCAGCAAGUCCUAAACACACGCUCAGAAACAAAGAGUGGAAAACUCAACUGUAGUUGUUCACAAAAGCAAACAAAACCCAAACAGGAGCAACUUGCCAGUGUGCUGAAAAGAUUGCUACCAAAACAAAACAAAACAGAACAAAACAAAAACUUCUAUAAAAUAAUUAUUUUUUUUCACUUAAAGUACUGAAAGGAAAAAAAAAAAAGAGAGAGAGAGAGAGAAAGAAAGGAGAAAGGACAGAGGUGUUUGUUUGUUUGUUUGUUUGUUUGUUUUUGGAAGUUUAUCAGUUUGGGAGGGGUUACCAAGAACUCCAAGGCUUUUUCAUUGGCUUUUGCACCCUCUUGUACCUUCCAGGAGGCAUCAGGCCAUUUGAAUUUUAUUCCUCUUCCUUGGUUAUGUAGUUCUCAGUCCCAGAAUUCAUGGGUGUGCGGGAGGGCUGGAGACUCCUGCCUGAUCCCCAGCACUUCAGGUAUUCACAGAUAUCGCUCCCACACCUCUGUGUUUAACUCAUGUUUGGCAAAGUACAACGUGAUCUAAAUCAAGCAGCCCAGGAGGGCAGCCAGCUUGGAUUUGAGGGCACCACGAAAUGUGAAUCCUAUCCUGGACCUGGAAUUCUUCCCAGAGAUUAAGCAUCUUCACUGAUAAACACAUGCUACUUUCUUACUCGAAAUUACCAAGCUGUAGUGUGCUUGUCGUGGGGCUAAAGACCCCUUUCCUACCAGCAUCGCUUCCUGAAGGUGCUUGCACACUCUGUCAUAACAUCACCUCUCACUUUGCUUUUGAAUACAUUUAGCAGAUUGAACUCCUCAAGUCUCUCAACUUCCUUUUCAAAAUGCAGAGACCAACAAUAACAGGGAAAAUAUUUGUCUGGUUAAGACUGGCUGGAAGCAGCCCUGGUCCAUCCUGCAGUUGGCUGUUCCUCCAUCUGGAGCUCCUGGGAGGCCCCUCAGCUGCAGCAGCACACUGGAAACACAGGUUGGGCUGCUUGUCCGUAGCAUCCUAUCCCAAAUCCUGGCUUUGCUUUCCAAGAUAAGGAUUGUCCCUCUGUGCAAGUUGACUGUGUCCCUUGCUCCUCCACACGGGGCUGUCACGCUGCCCAGUGACCUGGAUCUCCCCACACCGCUGCCCCGGCCUCUUCACCAGCUGCUGCUCUGCCUGUCUGGUGUCACUCGCAGGUUUUGGCAGCCCUUGUUGUGGCUCACCUUCCACACCGUUGAUAAAAGCAUUGAAAAUUAUUGGAUGCCCUAUCAGUCCCUGAGGCUCUUCUCUGGAGAAGCGCCCGGGGACUGCUCAUUUGCAAGGUCUUUAAUCUCACUGGUCCCUAAGCCACAGAACAUGCAUAACGUUGAUGUUGGAUAUCCUUACUUGUUGCUAGAACGUGCUAAGUCAAUCACCUUGCCAAAAUCUGUCACAUCCACAGAGCUGCUUUUCCCAGCCCAACUUUUAACCUCUCCAGAGAACACAGAGCUGUUUGAAAAGCUUGAUUUUGAUGUGAAAAGGCUGAGCCAACAGCCAUAAAUAAUAGCCACAGCUUUUAACUCUGCUCAGUUCACUUCCCCAGCAGCUUUUCCACCAUGUUCUCUACAACUGGUUUCAUGCUAUUGUGUACUACAGCUUUGCUUUAUAACCUGUUUGUGAUUUGGAAGGUGCUGUGCUCCACUCCCCCAUCGUCUGUCCUAAUGAGCCAGGAAACAGCCUGAAUGAAUAGAAACACUGUCAGAGGUCUAGAGUAAAAGACUUGAAAUAGGUGAAAGGUUGGUAGCAUGAGCAACGUGCCAGGCUUGUCUGCUCCCGAUGUCUGUGUCGUGCAUCACGUGAACACAUAAAUCCUUGGAAUCCCUCACCAUUUGUUUGGAUACCAGCAGACUUGAGUGUGCAUCUACCUCGCCGGUGACUUGAAGGAUUAUUCUUAUAGGACAGACUCCCCCUGCUAGGCUGCUUGCACGCUCGGGAACACACGAGGCUUGGGAUGGGUAUUUACACACAGGUUUUAUUCUAGGCCCACUUAGGGAAAGGACUUAGGAAUGAGGACUAACAUGAGGAAGAAGUGGCUGCCUUGUCUCAGAUGUUCCAGUGGCUGAACAUGCUGCAGAAUGGGGUGAAGCUGGUGAAUGUUUUCUGAGAUAGCAGCGGAAAGAGCAGGGAGAUGGGGAUACCACCCCGAUGAGCAGCAGGCAGCUUCAUGCAAGCGCACCAGCUUCUGCCUCUCCAGUCUCGCCCCGCCUGCAUUUGUUCCUCCUUUGCCUGAUGGCACAUCUCCCCCACACAAUGGCAUGUAAAAUCUAAUCUCUACUGAAAGCUCUGCAGGGCAGGAACUCACACAUUCAGAUCCAAAUAGGCUACUCAUGCCUUUUUAAUUUCACUGGAUCAGAAUAACAACAGCAAGGAAAUAAAGCAACAGCCAAAGAAUCAAGUCAGCGCAGUGAAACAGGUCCCUUCCCUGCCUUACGAGUUACAUCCACACCACCCCGAUGCUAGCGGGAAGUCUUCUAGUCACAAUCAGUAAAUCUUUCCCUUUUAAGCAUCCCAGAAAGCUCUCAGCCACCAAGGAAUGGCCACUGAUGUCCACUAACUCCCAAAGGCACACGGAGCGGCACCACGCUGAGAAGCAUCCCAGGGCACGAGGGGGCCGGGGAGCCCCUCUGUGCCCGCCCGUGGUCUGGGAAGAGCGAGCCUGGGGUUGGUGCACUCCCACGCACAUCUGCACCCCAGGCUGGCACGAUGCUGAUCUCCCCAGACAUCAAUCCUGCUGCCAUCUGGAUGACAGAUCUUGCACAAGAGCCGUGCCAUUACAUAAGGCCGGGGCUGUUUACAACUUCCCGCCCAGCGCACGCCCGCCGUGUGUUAAUCAGGACGGUUCGCAGUCAGUCCCGGAGUAAACAAACGCAGCUUCACCAGCAAACACAGCACCACACCUCUUCGCUCCAGGUGUGCGUUUUGGCCCACUGUCUGUUUCUCCAUAGCGAUUAGGGACUGGUAUUUAAGACAAUUUCUUAACAGGACCUGGGAUCGGUGGUUUAUCUCCUCAUUAGCUUGGUAAUGUCAUUAAUUAAGGUUAUGUCAACGGACAUGAUGCCACAGCAGAUGGGUGUUAUCAGUGGCAACAGCCUUCCAGGGUUUGUGUUCGCAGCCUGCCUACUGCGAUGCGCCAUUAGCAUCCUGCCCAAAGUGGGGACCUGCCCUUUCCCCACGCUGCUGCCGAGAGCCCUCUCCGCAGCCAAAGCGUCUUGAGGCAGGCUCCAGAAAUCCCCUCAAAAGUCCCUGUGCUCCCGAAGCAGCUCAGAGUGGGGAACCAUGAGCACGGGGGGAGUUACAGAAGGGGCGAGGGAUGCACACGGGGCUCCUGAUCAUGUGCGCCCUAGGCAGGCAGCGAAAGCAGCCUUGUGGCCUCUUCCUUUGUCCUCCUGCUCCUGGGACUGGGCUUCCUCAUGGUCCUAUUCAGCAAGAUGAAUGCCCUAAGACCCCCAAACCACUUCUGAAGGGCAGGGAUGGUCCCGGUGGUGCUGCACAGCCUGCAGGGCCUUGAGCCAUGGCACUGAUCCUGGUGGAGGAACGGUGCUGUCGUCGCCUCCUUCCUCCCCCUUUUGCACCUAACGCUGCUUGUUCGGCUGGCUCUGCAUUUCAAGCUGAGAAAAUUAGCACGUUAGUGAGAGAUGUGGUGGACUCUGUCCCGUGGCGUUAACAGCAGGGCUGGGUACUUCAGAGCAAGCCGGCUGGCAGGGCUGGCAGGAGCCGGGCCCAGGCCCGCACGCAGGGCAGUCGUGAUGUUGGAUUUAAAGCGUUCAUAUCAUGAAAUCCAUGAACCUGUGAACUGUGAGGCUUCAGAAGAGAAAAGGCAGCGAGUUUACAGAAUCACAGAAUCACAGAAUUUCUAGGUUGGAAGAGACCUCAAGAUCAUCAAGUCCAACCUCUGACCUAACGCUAACAGUCCCCACUAAACCAUAUCCCUAAGCUCUAGGGAUAGUUUAGCCUGCCUGCUCACACUAUACUCUUAGAGGUAGCAGGAAAGUGUGAAGACCUUUUGGAAACCUUCUUCUUUCUCCUCUUCUUACUCUAGAGGACGUAAGGUUAAGUCGAACACGCUUCUGGGCUAAGUCCUGCCCUAGUCCUGUACAGGAGCCCCAACGUACCCCAAAGCCUCGGUGCACUUUAAAUACACGUCAACAGUAGCAUGUGCUGGCCAGCAGUGAGUUUAACAGCGGUCCUUCAAAUGAAUGCAGUUUUAGUUGUUUUCCUCGGUUGUUUGAGGUCACUGUUCCCCCGCCCUUGUUAAUAAAGAUGUGAUUAAUGACUCUUGGCAAAGAUGCCGCCUGAAAGAGCCAAUGCUUUAGGAAAAGCAAAACCAGUUUUCAGGUAUUUUCUUUAAGGUUCAUCUCAGAAACACACAAACACAUUUCAAAGCACUCGUAAGACACACUUGACACCCCCCUCGCCCCGUCUCCACCCCCCGCAGACACACCGCCAUUCAUAACCCACAUAAUUAUUUUCCAUCUACCUGGAAGGGA